UUACGGCUAUAUAAGGUUGAAAUAUCGGUUACCGUACGCUCACCGAAGCUAAGCAAGGUUGAGCCUGAUCAGUACCUAAAUGGGUGACCUCUUGGGAAUAGCAGCUGCUGCAGG